CUAACGAGGAUUGGCACGGAUGGUUUUCAGUGCAGUACCUCUUUUAACCAUUACAGCAACGCCUAUGUGACACGGCGCUGUUCUGUUUCGGUUACACCGCCCAUCACCAUCGUCGAUCAUACCACUGAAUUGUCAAACUUGGUACACAACAAACGGAGGAGGGAGUAGGAAGAAGACGUCUUAGAGAUGAAGAAAAACUUUUCAAAGUGGUUGAAAGACAGUAGUAAUCAUUGUGUUUGAAAGUUGUACCAGCUCAACCCUUGUCAAUCUAAGCCUUGUCUGGGCCUCCAUGACCUUAUGAUGAUUCACCAGGGAGGUGCUGAAGAAAGAGUACAAACACCAACAAGAUGAAAAGCUCCACAGCUUCUGGGAUGGCCUUGCAAGUGUGGCACAACACCAGGAUAAGUUCAUGAGCAUAACAAGCACAUAGAUAGCUUCAGGGUGGAGCCUUCUGAAAUAUGCUUGUACACCUCCAGUGGACCCACUCAUGACAGCUGCACCAUCAUAUGUUUGUGCUACACACAUAAGCACUGCAAGACCAUUGUUUUGAAUCUGCUGCUGCAGCUCAUUUGCGAUGGACUGGGCAUCAAAUGAUUUUAUCUCUGCAAGUGCUAGGAAACGUUUCUUCACUGCCGCCUCUGACACAAACAGCUAACUGUUCUGAUUUUUCAUCCCUUGCCUCAUCUGCCAUGAUGGCAUAGAUUUUGGACUUUGUCAUUUCAGAUACAAUGACACUAGUAACUUCCUGAGCACAACAGUCAAUCAUGUCAUUCUGGGAUGUUGCUGAGAUAUACUGAGCAUUUGAUGGAGGGUGAUGUUUUUGAAGAAAAGGAUUCAAUUCCUUCAAAAGCUCCAUCCAAGCAAGACAAUUCCCUCUGUUUGUGCUGUCUCUACCUUCAUCAUGGCCACGAGAAGGAAGUCCCUGUCUCCCUAACAUAGAAGUGACUGCAACAAUUUGCCUGAGAUACUCUCUUCUCUCAAUUAUCUUACUUGCCUUUGCAGAUGCUAUCAUCUGUGCAACAUUUCCCUGAAUGCUAGUUGCCUGGUAGCUUUUCCAUGCAACAACACUGUCCUUAUGUGUUUGUGCUAUCUCAUGUUUGCCAAAUAUGACUAAAGCUUUCUUCCACUUCUUGGAACCACUACUCACCAAACUAUCAUGUUUGAGAUUUUUGCCAAACACUCUAAAUGGGAAGCAGAAAGCUGUAUUCUGGUAGACUGAAUAUUCUCACCAGUUGUGGUGAAAUGCUCGCUUCUGUGUACCAAAACUAUGGAGUGGGUAGCUCUUCAGCUUCACCUGUCUGGGCCCUGAGUCUUUGUCACCUAAAUCAAACCCUGUAUUGGAGUGAGCUUCUGCUGGUUCAUCAUUUUCCCUCUCCUGGUCUAUUUGUUUUCCUUCUCUCUCUGCAAUAACUUGAUCUUGUUCAAUGGUUACAAUUAAUUGGAAUGUAUGAACCUGACUUUUGUAAAGAGCCUUGAGACGACAUGUGUUGUGAAUUGGCGCUAUAUAAAUAAACUGAAUUGAAAUGAA